AUGGCGUUUAACUCCUUUGAAGAGCCCUUUAGAAUGUUUACUGUUUACAGCGCUCCUACUAGCAAACAGGCACACCAAGAAAAUAUUUGUUAAAAUAAAAGAUUCAUUGUUGUUUUUCAAUUCACACUUUCAUUUACCAAAGUGACACAUGACCUUCUAAACAAUUAAAGCCGAAUAUGGAGAAAAGAAGUGAGAUGUACCUUGCCUUUUAGCUCUCUGAUUGCUAAUUAUCUAUUGCAGAAGGAAUAGGAAAACUGUAGAGAUCCAAAGAUAUCUCCUUCAUCUGCUUACUGCUCUUGCUGCUGCUAAGUCGCUUCAGUCGUGUCCGACUCUGUGCUACUCCACAGACGGCAGCCCACCAGCCUCCUCCGUCCGUGGAAUCUCUAGGCCAGCUGCUGUAACCAGUAGCUCCAAGAGAGUGCCGCAGCCCCAAGCCAAAUGGAAAUGUUCCCUAUUGGUGGACUUGGGGCUCUGUUUUACAGCAUCACUCAAGGACCCAGGCUCAUGGAAAUUUCAUGUCCCACUGAGAAGAGAAAUGGACAUUUUUGAAAUUAUGAUGUACAUAACUGCAUCUAUCAAGAUUUUCCAAGAACCUAUUGCAACAAAAAAAUAUAGAAUACAUGAGGAGGUUGUUAAUCCAAAAAUAAGAGUUCCGUAACAGUUUUCUACACAAAAAGAUUUCUCAGCUAUGUUUUUUAAAGAUGAGUAGAGGAUAGCCAUGAGCAAAAGGCAGCAAUAUAUGCCAAGAGACAUAGUGUAUUUCAGGAUUAUGAGGGUUAAGCAUGGCUGCAGUGCACGAGGGAGCAAGACACGGAAUGGAAAGAGACAGUCUGUGUUAACGCAGAAAAAGUAAACUGUUCACCAAAGUUUGUGUUCUUUCUUCCUUGGUAUAGAACUGUUACUGAGAACUGGCCAACUAACAUGUGACUGAAUUUCAGCCAACAGAGUUUGAGAAGAAACAAAUGUUAUUACUUCCAAGCUAAGAAUCUUAAGCAGCAGAAGUUUUUAGUGUGAUACAAGUCCGGCUUUUUAAUUUUUGCUGCUGUUUCCUAUACUUUUGGUGACAUAGCCAAGAAAUGAAUUCCAAGACCAACCUCAAGAAGCUUGCCUUUGUUUUUUUCCAGUAGUUUUCUGAUUACAGAACUUUUGUUCAACUCUUUAGUCCAUUUUAUAUUGAUUUUUGUGUACAGUAUCAGGGUCCAGUUUCAUCCUUUCAAAAAAAAUUGGAGAUCCAAUUUUUCUAGCAUCAUUUAUUGAAGAGAUUAUACCUUCCCUUGAUGCCAAAGUCCAUGACCAUGCCUAAAAUAUCUUAAGAUCUUUUAAAGUCAUAAAUUAACAUUUAUAUUUUAAUAUUUUCCAAAUCCACUUAUGUUCUAUCAUGUAUGCUAUAUUUGUUUAUAUUGUUCAAAAUUCUAAAAUGGUUAUACAUGUAUAAUUUCUCUUCUGCUGAAGUUAAAUUUUCUUUGAAAAAAAUCAGAAGUAUUAUUUGAGUAUUGAAAAUUUCUAGCCCCUGACAUUUUUAAAGCCAAGUGAGGAAAAUGAUUUUUACUGAUUUUUAAAAAAAUAUUAAAAAUCAAUGCUUUCUUAAAAAAAUCAAAGGUAAUCUACAUAAUAUUCUUUCCAGCAGGUUUCAAAAAUAUUACUCUAGAUAGGUCAUCUUAAGUCUGUAAUUUUUAAUAGACAUAAUAUCUGCUAUCUUCUCACAGAUGUUCCUCAAUAAAUGCUGAACCAUUUGUCUUUUUCCGAAUAGUCAUUGGAUAACUAGAAAUUUAACUCUAGAAAACUUGAGACUGUUCAAGGAUAUCUGAAUACUGAUUUUAGUCAUCUCUACCAUCCCAGACAUGGCCUUGUUAGUAUUGAAUUUGGUCCCUAAAUUAGGGGAACCUGAUGUAGAAUUUUUUAUAUAUAAACAACCUAACUGAUUAAAGUGAGUUCUUUCUCAAUGGCAAUGUAAUCCCAAUUGUAAAAGGGUUUUAUAUCUUCCUUAACUUUACCAUGAUCCUCUGUAAAUGGAAAGCCUUAGAAAGGAAUGCUGGGAACCAGAACUGGGGAAAAGACAUCAAAUGACAUGUGUCUGUAUUACUUAGAAAUGUCAUUUAAAAAAAAAUUUUUUUUUAGCUUUUACAUAGAGUAUUCUUUUUAAAUUUUUAGUAUGAAAUUAGUAUUUAAAAUAUGUGUGAAUCUUUGUUUCACAGGUGAAUAUUGCAUGUAUGUAUCAAAAUAAUAUGUAUUCUUUAUCCAUCACAUGCAAGACAGCAGUUCUCAAAGUGUGGUGGAUAUAGUUUCCUGUAUCAUUAAGAUGUUACCUGCACUUUUUACUCUUUUUUUAUAUGAAAUCACAGUGAACAUUUCCAGAAGCUUGUGAUAUGUGGUGAUAACAUAACUAAUCUGAUAGCUAUGGAAUAUUAGCUACAUUCCAUAGUUCUGAUGGAAUAUAACUUGUGUUUUAACAAUUUCUUAGUUUUAAUUUCUAAUACAGUAAGUAUCAGGAGAUAAAAACAUGCAUAAAUGAAAGCUCUUUGGGGUCUUCACUUAAUCUGCAAUUUAGUAUUAAAUUUUUGGAGUCCUUAAAUAGCAGAUCUCUUGCCAACCCAGGCUUUAUAGCUGUGUUAAGCACAGGGAGCAGUGUGCUUAUUCCAUCUCAUCUGGAUCUAGAAUUGUAUAUUUUUUGACUUCUCUUAUUCUUUUGUGUUAUACUGCAUAUUGCGUAUAUAUGUUUAUAUAUGUAUGAACAUUACGAACUGUGCAUCAUGUGAGAUACUUAAUCAGGAUUACAAUUACAGCUAUAUUAAAUGUUUGACAUUUG